rnacentral:rRNA from 1 species
GCUCAACCGGGGAGGGUCAUUGGAAACUGGGGAACUUGAGUGCAGAAGAGGAGAGUGGAAUUCCACGUGUAGCGGUGAAAUGCGUAGAGAUGUGGAGGAACACCAGUGGCGAAGGCGACUCUCUGGUCUGUAACUGACGCUGAGGCGCGAAAGCGUGGGGAGCGAACAGGAUUAGAUACCCUGGUAGUCCACGCCGUAAACGAUGAGUGCUAAGUGUUAGAGGGUUUCCGCCCUUUAGUGCUGCAGCAAACGCAUUAAGCACUCCGCCUGGGGAGUACGGUCGCAAGACUGAAACUCAAAGGAAUUGACGGGGGCCCGCACAAGCGGUGGAGCAUGUGGUUUAAUUCGAAGCAACGCGAAGAACCUUACCAGGUCUUGACAUCCUCUGACAACCCUAGAGAUAGGGCUUCCCCUUCGGGGGCAGAGUGACAGGUGGUGCAUGGUUGUCGUCAGCUCGUGUCGUGAGAUGUCGGGUUAAGUCCCGCAACGAGCGCAACCCUUGAUCUUAGUUGCCAGCAUUCAGUUGGGCACUCUAAGGUGACUGCCGGUGACAAACCGGAGGAAGGUGGGGAUGACGUCAAAUUAUCAUGCCCCUUAUGACCUGGGCUACACACGUGCUACAAUGGGCAGAACAAAG